rnacentral:rRNA from 1 species
UACAGGGGUGGCAAGCGUUGUUCGGAAUUACUGGGCGUAAAGGGCGCGUAGGCGGUUUCGUAAGUCCUGUGUGAAAUCCCCCGGCUCAACUGGGGAACUGCACAGGAAACUGCGAGGCUUGAGUUCGGGAGAGGGAAGCGGAAUUCCGGGUGUAGCGGUGAAAUGCGUAGAUAUCCGGAGGAACACCGGUGGCGAAGGCGGCUUCCUGGACCGACACUGACGCUGAGGCGCGAAAGCCAGGGGAGCAAACGGG